rnacentral:rRNA from 1 species
GGCAUCGAUGGGCGAGCUGACGGAGCAUGCCGCGUGAGUGAUGAAGGUUUUCGGAUCGUAAAGCUCUGUUGCCAGGGAAGAACGCUUGGGAGAGUAACUGCUCUCAAGGUGACGGUACCUGAGAAGAAAGCCCCGGCUAACUACGUGCCAGCAGCCGCGGUAAUACGUAGGGGGCAAGCGUUGUCCGGAAUUAUUGGGCGUAAAGCGCGCGCAGGCGGUCAUGUAAGUCUGGUGUUUAAUCCCGGGGCUCAACCCCGGAUCGCACUGGAAACUGCGUGACUUGAGUGCAGAAGAGGAGAGUGGAAUUCCACGUGUAGCGGUGAAAUGCGUAGAGAUGUGGAGGAACACCAGUGGCGAAGGCGACUCUCUGGGCUGUAACUGACGCUGAGGCGCGAAAGCGUGGGGAGCAAACAGGAUUAGAUACCCCUGUUAUUCCAAGUU